GUUAGGCGUUGUUGCAUAUAUUUAUCGGUUAGUUAGGUGGACAAAAUAAGCGGAUCUCUAUUAUACUAAAAUCAGCUUGACACAAACAAAACACUUGUAGAUAGAAAUGCAUCUAACUCAGCAUUUUUGCAGUUGUGUAUGCAAUUAAAAACCCGUGACUUUUUAAACAGCUACAAUUGCAUCUAAACUUUUGCCUGAAAUGUUCUAUGUAAAAUCGAAACAGGGAGUUUCGUUAAGACUUCAAUGACAGCAGAUCGUCCAUAAAAGAGAUGAUUUUUAUGGUUGACACUUUAACAUCUGUAUGCAGUGGAAGAAGCGCGGUUAGCAUGUGAUGAAAGGUACCUGGAUACGGUACAUGAAUCUGUUCGCCAUUUUGCAUGAACAAAGAGGGACUCAAAAAUAACUACCAUAUUCGUCAAAUAAAUACGACCAUAUACCAAUGGAGAGAGAAGAUGUGAAACGAUAUUCUACAGAUCUAGCGCAGGUAGUGGACGCUUUUGGAGUGAAUGAACAAAUUAUAUCUCUGAGACGCCACUUUUUUGCUCUCAAUGAUAUAUAUAAAGCUUUCUCUUUUGAAAAAAAAGGGUUUAAUAUUCUCUACUUUUGGUAGUCAAAGCGAGGGUUCUACAACCACUGGCAUGAGGCCAGACUACGACCAUCUUUGCUAUUAUAAAGUAAAAGUCGACUGUCUACACGUUGAGGAUUUUCAGGAUUCAAAAUAUAAUUACUUUGCUGUAAAAGAAGAACCAAUGUGAUUACCGCAAUGCUGCUGCCUACAAGCCAUUGGACGAUUAGAGAACAAGACAUUUUGUAUUGCGUAUGGGGAAUUUUUAUCUGAAACAGAAAUAAAUCAAAAUACGUUUACAUUUGAUCGAAAUGGUCGAGUCUGGUUAAAUUCCAUGUUUCUUUUAAACAGUGUUUUACAAAUUGAGCAAGCCAGUGGGUUUAUAGGAGUGCGACAUGGACCUGCAUUCACUAUUGAUGAUGUAGACUACGUUUUUGCAGUACGCUGUCCUAUUCUGCCGGAUAGUUGUAGGGUUUUGUUUACAGACCACGACCAGGCCACUGGCCCACACAAGAAACGCUUGCAAAGGCAAAUCAAUGCGAAGUGUAUAUGGUACAUCCCGGAUAUCUGGGGCAUACCUAUGGUUACGAUCAUGAACGUCGAGUUAGCUUCAUUAAAAUACAAUACCAACAUAACUUUGUUGAUUCGCAGUACAGCUGAAGGCCUACGUAAUAACAAAAAUGAUUCGAAAAGAGUUUCUUCAUCCUCUAGUUGAUGAACGCUUGAGUGCCUUUCACAUGAAAACGGCUCUUUUGUUUACGGUUGAGCAAUUUCCAGAGGACAUAUGGAGAGAUGACAAUCUCGUGCAGUGUGUAAUAUACUGUCUGAACACACUUAAACGCUUUCUAAAAACCGGCUACUGCCCACAUUCCUCCAUCGACUCUGUCAAUUUGUUCGCAGGAAAACCGAAUGUGAAUGUAGUCAACAUUGUGAAACACAAAGUUACAGAUAUGAUAAACUCGGGCUUGAGUUGUCUUCUAACGUUAAACAUGGAUUACGUAGGAAAGAGAUUAGAAUUUAACCGUCACAAGAUACCUGGUUUAGAAAUUCAAUUUGAAACCAUCAGAAAAAUGAUGACAGGGUUGCUUAAUUCACACAUCUUCGCGGAUGUCGGAAACUAAAAAGAUUGGCUUUGGCUGUUUAUUCAGCCUUGACAAUGGGGCACAUAUAUAAAACUGAGCUUGGAUUUAUUUUUUCACAGCCUGUGUAGCAGAAUAGCAUCACAUGAAGCAUCCGAAUGUAUCGCCAAUGGUACAGAAGUGACUAGUGGCAUUAUCAACACGUACGAAACAUCUCUUAGAUCACAAAAUCCCUUGAACUGUUUAAGGUAUGCCUCAAUGCUAGUUUGCACACAUCAGUUUGAACAAGGGGUCAUAGAACUGAAUAUAAUCGCACAUGCAGUAUCACAAAAGCUGUUAGAAGAACCUUCUUUUCUCAAACACUGCAUCAAUGUCAAACCUACGUCAUAUGCUUGGCACAAAUGGUGGACACCGACAUUAAUACUGAUAUCUAAUGCAGCGAAAAUUUGGCCUCCUCUCGUUUGUGUAAUAGGAGAAAUAACAUGUGUGCCAAACCAUCUUAUUUACGAAAAGUUCAGAACCAUCACAGCGGAUGAAAUAAAAGGUUUCGAUGUUAGAGUUAUUUGUCAAAAGAAUAGUACCGUAUUUGUAUCCGAAGUCGAACCAUUAUUCUAUUAUUUGCAAUACCUAUCAAACAAGAAUGGAUUGAAUAAGCGACACGCAUUAGACAAUCUUUUAGACUACUGCGAGAUUGAGCUAAAGCUUCGAGUGUUUCAUCACUUAGAAAAGAACUAAAGCAUCGAGUGUGUCAUCACUUAGAAACAGCACUAAACAUGUUAGGUCAUGUCCAUGAAUCAGAAAGCAAUUUAACAGAUGCAUGGAUAAUAUACAGAAAAUCAGUAUCAAUUAAACAACGCUACAAUGCAGCUUAUUGGCAUCUUUUUCGAUUAUUGUGUAUAGUAAAAUUUAAUGAGAUACCGGGAAAACUGCAAACAAACGUAGUUCAGCUUUGAAUUAAAUAAUAAAUAAUAUCAUUUUGCGUCAAGCAGUUUGUACUAGAAACGCAUAGUCUAAAAUAUCUAAUUAAAAACAAUAGUUUGUACACUAAAUCGAGUGAUGAAGAAAACUUUGUACGGAAUAUACGCAUUAUGUUGUAAGGUCACCUUAGCACAACUUGUUCAUGUUGGGCUUUUGUCAUCGCCUUGAGUCCGUCGUUUGCCGUGCGCCGCCCGUUGUCCGUGCUCAUUAUUUACAUUGUUUACACUCUAGAGGCAACAUUAAUUUCCAAUCUUCAUGAAAUUCGAUCAAAACAGGUUCCAUAAUUACAUAUCUGCCUUGGUCUCAACUGGGUUAUGUUACUCAUGUAAGAUGAAAAGCUAUGCCACAAUGUCGAAUUAGAGAAAAAGCUUGUUAACUAUCUAAAUUCACAUUUCAUUUAUUAUCCUAUCUGCAUGGAUCAUAGUUCGGAUAUGUGUUCUAAUAGUACAUCGACCGAGUCUAUGAUGGUACAGAAAACCAGUAACAAUAACGCCGCGCUACAAUGUAGCUUAUUGGCAUCUGUUUCGGUUAUUCGGACAAGUUGUGUAUUGUACGUUUUAAGCGAAAACAUGCUUAAACGUGUAGUUCUGAUUUGUGUUAUAUUAUAUCAUUUUGUGUCGAAAUGGUAUUUAGAACAAACCCUCCCAUUAUAAAUAUAAAAAUAAAUACACGUUUUAGCAUAAAUUGUACACUAAAUCGAAUGAUGAAGAAACAAAUAUUUAAAUUAUAAGCUCAUGUUGUCAUGUUGAGAUUUUGUGAUCGCCUUUGGUCCGUUAUUCGUCGCCCGUCAUCCGUCAUCAACACUUGCCUUGUUUACAUUACAAAGUCCACAUUUAUAGGCUUAUCUUCACAAUACUUGGUCAGAAAAGUUCAAUCAAUUAUAUCUUUACUGAGUGCGAAACUGGGUACCGAGAGAUCUAAAACUGUUUUACUUGGUCAAAUUAAAGAAAAAGCUUGUUAACAGUUUAGAAGUAACAUGUUUGUUCAAUAGUAUAACACUUGCUCAGAAAAUUAGCUUCAAGAGUAUCUCACACAGCAUUUCAUUAAUAACAUAUUUUAAAUGUUGUUAAAUUUUAAUGUAUGUAUGUGUUGUUGUAUUAUGUUAUGUUGCUCAUUAUCGAAAUAAAUCUAUCUAUAAAUCUAUCUAUCUAUCUCGGCCAGGUUCGAAAAUGUUCUGGUCCAUUAAACAACAUGGUAGCUCGGCAGUGGGCAGUUUUCCUUAUGGUGUAACAUGUGUGCACUCUGGAAAUCCCAAAAUUAGGCCGAAUUAGAAAACGAUAACCGUCUGUUGAAAAACAUGGUCGCCAGGUGGCGAGCAGUUUGUCUUAUAUUGCUCUAUUUAAAUCCUGUUAACACUCUAGAAGUAACAGCCAUAAUGAAAUUGCCAAGAACAUUUGUUAUUAUGAUAUAUUUGCGAAGAUUAACAGUUGAAAAAAUCAUGGCCGCCAGUGGGUGUGGCAGUUUUCUUCAUAUUGCUAAAGUCAAACAUUGUGAAUACUUUAGAAGUCACAAUGUAGGACCGAUCUGUAUAAAACUUGCUCAGAUCAUUUUCUAAUGAUAUGCUGGUCGAGUUUAAACAUAGUUCCAGUCCGUUGAGUAAGAGGGAGCGACCGACAACAACAAGCACGUGUUUAAUCAUCUAAAUACACUAACAUUAAUGUUAUCGAAAGUCAGAUAAUACAUUUAUUUUUAGCAAAAAAGUACUUAACAAAUGUUUCUAACUUGUAUUAUGUUUGACCUCCAAUCAUGAAUACAUGGCUUGUCAGGAAUCCAAUCUUAUUUGUUUUAGGCAUUGUAGCAUCAUACGUAGAACAAUAAACAUCUCGUAGCCAAUAGUGUUGUGAUAUUUUUAGAUCAGCGUCAUUAUACAUAUAUUGACUCCCUGAUACAUUGCUGCAUACUGAACUAUGUUUGGACAAUAUGCUGAUUCUAGUGCUUGUAAUAUAGCAAGAAUAUAAUAUGAGGCCACAUUUUUUCUCAUCUUGAACUUGAAUUUUUUUUUCAGAAUAAACAUGUAAAGAUUCUUAAAAAACUAAUUAUUCUUUAGAUGGAUCUCAUGUUAUUGGUUUCAAGUAAGAGGUUUCAGAUUAUACAUAUUCAGCGUCAUUUUAUUCUUGCAAUAACGUUUGCCUUUGUUUUAAAAUAAGAUUUCUAAUAUAAAAGUAUUAGUAAUAAACUAGGUUCGUUGUCCUUAACAGAUGGCCAGUAUUUGUAUGGAGUGUAUAAACAUGUAAAGGUCAUUUGUGUUUGUUCAUUUUCUGAAAACUUGUAAAGUAAAAUUUUGAUUACAAAAUCAUUUUUUACAAAAAUAUGAUGUUUAUCAUGCCUGGUAUAUGUUAAUAAGGGCUUGUGGUUAUUAUUGGUGAAUUUUAUUUUCACACCAGUAACAAAAACUAUGCCAUUUUUACAAGCAAGUAUUUAUAUGUAUUUUAAUAAUAUGUAUGGUGUGUUGACAAAUAUGGCUGCAAGGAAGGUUGUAUGGGCUGGAAAGUUUUCGUUUAUGGCUAAAUUAAAACUUUGUGAACACUCUAGCAGUCACAUUGUUUGUCCCAUCUUCAUGAAACUUGCUCAGCACAAAUUUUCGAAUUAUAUAUUGAAUGAAAGCGGAAAUGUUUUGGUCCAUUGAAACACAUAGCAACCAGGAAUGGGUCAGUUUUCCAUGGCGGAACCCAUGUUUACACAAUACAUGUUAAACUGUUUGCCCAAUCAGCAUUAAGCUUGAUCAGAACAUCAAUUUUGUUCUAAUGAUACCUAAACCGAGUUUUUUAAUGGUUUUGAGUAGAAAUCAAAUUCAGAAGCCACAGCUACUGCAAAAGCAAAAACUUAGGAAAUGCAGCUAAAAACAAUGCAGUUUCUUAUGGCCUCAGGCAAGCGACCUAAGACAUUUGGUCCUCUUGUCCAUUUAGUAUGCUUAUAUUUGUUUUUUCGUAUUAAUAAAUAUACGGUUUUGUUAACUUUAUAACUGUUGUUGACUGUAUGCUUAUGCUUAUCUUUAUGAGAUUAGGUAUAUAUAUUUCUACUAAAAAUCUCCGAAUAUUUAGUUGUUUGCAUUAGGUGUUAUUUGACGUUUAGCAUUAUCGUGUAUUUUAUUCUCAUAUUUAUAGCAAAAUGGCCUAUUCAUGUUCGUUUCAUCAUUUCGCAAUGGUAUGGACCAAUGCAAUUUCUGUAAAAAAAAGAUUGAUCGUACAUAAAACUGCUUAUUGGCAUUUUAGGCCUUAUUCAAAUUUUAAAUGUUCAUACUCGCGGCUUCUCCUUAGGUUAGAGGUCAAGAUAAAGUAAUAACCUGUCGAAGCUCAUCGUCUGUGUCAAAGCGGUAUACAUUUUAAUUUCUUAUUAAUUAUUUUAGCGAUCGCUCUUUUUGAAUUAGUUCUCCUCGGCUCAAGAAAGGAAGCCGCAAUAGUAAACUAAAUACUAAGGCUUAAUCAACGACAAAUGCAUGCAUGUAAAUUCUUUCUAAACUUUGCAGUUCAAUUGUGUAUCAUUGUUUAUUAGCGUUGUAUUAUAGUUCACGUUUAUGCUUAGCUUGAGUCAAAUAAUGGUUCUUUUUGAUGCAGUUGAAUUAAUUUGAUUUGCAUAACUUAAAUAUUAUGUGAAUAGUUAUGCAGAAAAUGCAAUUAUUACAUGAUAGAACAGUUAUACGCAUAUUUUAAAGUUAAACUUUAUCAUUAUUAAUUGUAUUCAUGCGUCCCUUGUGAUAUGUUGAAAUGUGGAAUAUGUGUGAAAUGACCAAUGUCCGUUUGUGUUAACAAUAACUAGAGACUGUCGUGUGUGCGCUGGAUAGCUUGCUGUUGAAGUUUGUGAAUGUGUUAUUAAUGAAAUUGGUGUAGGAAACAAAUUGAUAUGUGUUAUGUGUUUUUGAACGUUGAUAGCGUUUUGCUUAUGUAUAUAAAUACUUACGAAUACCUUAAUAUGUUUCAUAAGAGGUGUUCACAUGGUUCUUGGGCACGGCCUCCACAAUACUUAUCAUAUUUUGGCACGUAAUUUGACACAAUAAACUCCGCCCGCUUCUGUGUUUCUCAUAAUAUUUGUUUCCCUGAUUAUCAAAAAUUAUCUUGCCAUCCCGUUGUACUAAAAUCCCUGUAGCAGUCAGAAAAACCGUAACACAAACGAUAGUAUUAUGUUAUUUUGUUACGUGCACAAAUAUGAAAAUCAUUGUGAAGGCCGCGCCCAACAAAGCGUGACAACUUCUUAUAAAACAUAAGGAAUUCGUUAUCAUUUCUAUUCAUAACUGUAUCAUGUUAGUUGUAUUUAACUUUGAAUCAUUUCUAAUUGACACUUGCCCCUAACAGGGCCACAAAUAGUUCACGUAAUGGAUGGAUUUACCUUUGAAAAGGGUAUUUAACUUCUUCGCAUAAUGUUUAUUGUUGAAAAACAUAUCGUUUGAUUUUGUGUUUCUUGUACUUGGUUUGUAAUUCAUUUUCGAUAAAACGUGUUUGUAUGUUAUGAAUUUUCGUUUUGAUAUUAAAUACUUUUUAAUUUGAUGUUUAUUUUCUUGAGAUGCAUGCAAAAAUCUGACUGUUUAAGAUUUGUAUUACAAAUUCAUUCCGUUGGUAUUUACUUAAGAUGUUUGUUCCUGAUAAACAACUAAAUUUAAUAAAACUGAUUGUAAGGUAAA